rnacentral:rRNA from 1 species
AGAGUUUGAUCAUGGCUCAGGAUGAACGCUAGCGGCAGGCUUAACACAUGCAAGUCGAGGGGCAGCAAGGGUAGCAAUACCUGUUGGCGACCGGCAAACGGGUGCGGAACACGUACGCAAUUUACCUUUAUCUGGGGCAUAGCCCGAAGAAAUUCGGAUUAAUACCCCCAUAAUAUAUAGAAGUGGCAUCACUUAGAUAUUAAAACUCCGGUGGAUAAAGAUGAGCGUGCGUCCCAUUAGCUAGUUGGUAGGGUAACGGCCUACCAAGGCGACGAUGGGUAGCUGGUGUGAGAGCACGACCAGCCACACGGGCACUGAGACACGGGCCCGACUCCUACGGGAGGCAGCAGUGAGGAAUAUUGGUCAAUGGACGCAAGUCUGAACCAGCCAUGCCGCGUGAAGGAUGAAGGCCUUCUGGGUUGUAAACUUCUUUUAUUGGGGAAGAAAAUUACGGUUUCUACUGUAACCGACGGUACCCAAGGAAUAAGCACCGGCUAACUCCGUGCCAGCAGCCGCGGUAAUACGGAGGGUGCAAGCGUUAUCCGGAUUCACUGGGUUUAAAGGGUGUGUAGGCGGGUAGUUAAGUCAGUGGUGAAAUCUCCAGGCUCAACCUGGAAACUGCCAUUGAUACUAUCUAUCUUGAAUUUUGUUGAGGUGGGCGGAAUAUGUCUGUAGCGGUGAAAUGCUUAGAUAUGACAUAGAACACCAAUUGCGAAGGCAGCUCGCUAAACAAAUAUUGACGCUGAGGCACGAAAGCGUGGGGAUCAAACAGGAUUAGAUACCCNNGUAGUCC